rnacentral:pre_miRNA from 1 species
GCGCUUGGCAAAUUCACAUGCCCUACUUGUGGUAUGAACUGAGUACGCUAUGAUUUAUGGUGCGUAUUAGAGGCUUACCAUAAGAUAAUGCAGUGAAUUCGCCAAGCGU